CUCGAUGGUUUCAUGGGUGGACUUAUGUCAUUCGUGCUAUUCUGGACGUAUCCUUUCUUUCUUGCAAUGGUACACGGACACAAAUGUAACGCUCGUUCGAGCCGGCAAAUCUUAGGACUGAAAAUUUACCGGCUUCCGGUUUAUCUUUUAAUACAUCCUCUUUGCCUAUCGGUACUUUCUUUAACAC